GCGAGCGUGGUGGAACUGGCAGACACGCGGGUCUUAGGAGCCCGUGCCCGCAAGGGCUUGGGGGUUCGACUCCCCCCGCUCGCACCA
rnacentral:tRNA from 1 species